UGAAUUUGCGAAAACAAAAAAAAAUGUCGUUAUCUUUAAAAUAAAAUAAUUAUAUAAAAAAAAAAGAAACUAACUCAAAAUUUUUAUUAAAUAAUUUAAAUUAUUUAAUGGUGCAUAUGUAAAACUUGGGGUUGAAUAUUUUGGGAUAUGUGAGCCACAACAACAAAUAAGCAAGUGCUUCUAAUGCCCCACCAAAUAUGGUGAAGCGAAAGGCAGCCGGCCC
rnacentral:lncRNA from 1 species